rnacentral:rRNA from 1 species
UACGGAGGGUGCAAGCGUUAUCCGGAUUCACUGGGCUUAAAGGGUGCGUAGGCGGGCAGGUAAGUCAGUGGUGAAAUCUCCAAGCUUAACUUGGAAACUGCCGUUGAUACUAUCUGUCUUGAAUAUUGUGGAGGUGAGCGGAAUAUGUCAUGUAGCGGUGAAAUGCUUAGAUAUGACAUAGAACACCAAUUGCGAAGGCAGCUCACUACUCAAUUAUUGACUCUGAGGCACGAAAGCGUGGGGAGCAAACAGG